GGUAGCACAGGGGACUUUGGAUCCUCUAGCCCAGGUUCGAAUCCUGGCUCGGCAGCCA
rnacentral:tRNA from 1 species